UGAUUUUCAAGUUGAAAUAUUUAGGCCCUCCAAGUCUCAAAGUUGAAGUCUUCAAGUAUGUCGGUCUUCAAGUUGAAGUCUUUAAAUUCGCCGAUCUUCAAGUUGAGAUAUUUAAGCCCCCAAGUUGAAGUCUUCAAGUCUGUUGGUCUUCAAGUUGAAAUCUUCAAAUUCGCCGAUCUUCAAGUUGAAAUAUUUAAGCCCCCAAGUUGAAGUCUUCAAGUUCGCCGGUCUUCAAGUUUCAGUCUUCAAAUUUGCCGAUCUUAAAGUUGAAUUGUUUAAGCCAUAUGAAUCUUUGAGUUGAAAGUCCGCCAAAUCUUCAAAGUUUUCCAAGUUUUCAAGUCGAUGUCGUCUUCAAGUUGAAGCUUUAUAACUUUCCAAUCUUAAGGUGGACAUAUAAGUCCUUUUGCACCUUAAGUUGGCCUCGUCGUGGAUUUUUCCUUAAAAGGAACUAUAACUUUUCAAUCUUAAGGUGGACAUAUGAGUCCCUUUUCACCUUAAGUUGGCCCCGCCGAUAGUUUGGGCCACAUUGAAAGUAAUCUCCCCGGCAGUUGGGCCAUUUUGAGAGUAAUCUCUCCAAGAAUUUGGCCACAUUGAGAGUAAUCUCUCCGAUAGUCGGGCCAUUUUGAAAGUAAUCUCUCCAAGAAUUGGGCUACAUUGAGAGUAAUCUCUCCGGUAGUCGGGCCAUUCUCAGAGUAAUCUCUCCGGUAGUCGGGCCAUUUUGAGAGUAAUUUCUCCAAGAAUUUGGCCACAUUGAGAGUAAUCUCUUCGAUAGUCAGGCCAUUUUGAGAGUAAUCUCUCCAAGAGUUGGGCCACAGUGAGAGUAAUCUCUCCGGUAGUCGGGCCAUUUUGAGAGUAAUCUCUUCAAGAAUUAGUCCACAUUGAGAGUAAUCUUUCAAGUUGUCGGGCCAUUUUGAGAGUAAUCUCUCUAAGAGUCGGGCCACAUUGAGAGUAAUCUCUUCGGUAGUCGGGCUAUGAAAGUAAUCCCUCCAAUAUUUGGGCAGGGAUAAGUACCCAUACCCUCACACCUUAAGACCACCUUCUUCAUGCAUGAACUACCUUGUUGAAUAAGAACAUAUCUUUCUUAUUUGACCUACAAAAAAAUGAUCAAAAAAGAAAAGCAAAAAAAGAAGAAAUUACCUUUGCGUCAAUACUUCGAAUCCGCAAAACAUGACUUAAUAUGGC
rnacentral:lncRNA from 1 species